rnacentral:rRNA from 1 species
UACGGGGGGGGGCAAGCGUUGUUCGGAAUUACUGGGCGUAAAGAGCGUGUAGGCGGCUCGGUAAGUCCGCUGUAAAAGUCAAAGGCUCAACCUUUGAAUGUCAGUGGAUACUGCCGGGCUAGAGUCCGGAAGAGGCGAGUGGAACUCCUGGUGUAGCGGUGGAAUGCGCAGAUAUCAGGAAGAACACCAACGGCGAAGGCAGCUCGCUGGGACGGUACUGACGCUGAGACGCGAAAGCGUGGGGAGCGAACAGG